rnacentral:rRNA from 1 species
GACGGACGCUGGCGGUGUGCUUAAUACAUGCAAGUCGAACGAUAAGGUCCCUUCGGGGAUACAUAAGUGGCGGACGGGUGAGUAAUACGUAGGAAAUUUACCUUUAGGUGGGGGACAACACCGGGAAACUGGUGCUAAUACCGCAUAUGUCAUAAUUUGAAAUAGUUAUGAUGAAAGCUCCGGCGCCUUUAGAUGAGCCUGCGUCUGAUUAGCUUGUUGGUGGAGUAAUGGUCUACCAAGGCGACGAUCAGUAGCUGGUCUGAGAGGAUGAUCAGCCACAAUGGGACUGAGACACGGCCCAUACUCCUACGGGAGGCAGCAGUAGGGAAUAUUGCGCAAUGGACGAAAGUCUGACGCAGCAACACCGCGUGAGUGAAGACGCAUCUUGGUGUGUAAAACUCUGUCAGUGGGGACGAAAAAAAUGACGGUACCCACAGAGGAAGCAUCGGCUAACUACGUG